rnacentral:misc_RNA from 1 species
GUCGAUGAAGCGUUCUGCCGUCCUCUUCAAUUCCUCGCUGCUACGGCCACCGAACCUGCUUCCAUGUCUUCUCGCUCUUCCGUACUCUCUCUCUCUCUCUCUCCAAAAUAUACUAGAGUCUCGAUGUCAAGCAACAGCCAGAGUCACACUUUUCCUGGAAGCAGCAGUCUUGGAGCUUGAUGUAGCUGUGGAUGGUGAUGCAUGGCGAUCUUCUUUCUUUGAUGCCAUCACUAAACUCUUUUCUUUUCUUUCAUCAUUCUUCAUCUGUUGUUCUCUGCACUCUAGACUACAAAAAGCUGUAUCCCCCCUGUACAUGUAAAUAUCUUUCCCAGGAGCCAAGCGGCGUUUACAAAGGCCACAAGUCCUCAAGAAAUGAGCAGUCUCCAAGAAAUUGCUACCGGAGCUUGUCCUUUGGUUAUUCCUGGGUGACACCAUGGCGGCCAAGAGACGCUGAUCAUAUAAGCCAUUAAUAUUACCAUCAAAGCCACUUAUGUCGUAAUAGUUGUUAUAAUAAUUUAGACACGCUUCUUCAGGUCCCACCAGUGCAUGAUGAGGAUCUCCGAUCAUCUGGUGGUUGUGGGUAAUAUCAUCAGACGACGGCGUCUCCGGGGCAUCUACGUUGGCAAGAUCAACGGUGAUGCCGGUCAUACUUGUGGUUCUUCUGAUGGGUGGGCGUGGACGCUUCCCUAGCAACAUCUUCUCUGUGUGUGUGUGUGUGUGU